UAAUAUUAUUGCAUUGCUAUUGUCAUGAGAUUAUAAUAUACAUAAUUUAAACAAUGAUUUAUUGAAAAAAAAAAAGAAAAGGAAAUUUUAAGCCUAUCUAGGAAUUUGGGGUAUUUGAGCAGUCAUCUUUCAAUAAAUCCAAAAUAAAUAUUUUAAAUAUGCCAUAGGACAUUCCUGCCUAUCUCUUUGAAUACCAAUAUUGAUCCUGUAACCUCAGUCUCCUCUCCAUAAUGGUUUAUUUCAAUUUUUACAAAAUUUAGGCAGAAUAAUCUGAUUGCCUUGAAUCCAGCUGGAUUAGGACUAUGUGUUUUUUUAAUCCAAGGCUCCUUCUCCAUGUCUAAUUUUAUAUUUGUUCCUAUUUGACAGUUAAAAGGAAAACAAAAGCUUUUCUUGGAUACAAAAUCCUCUGCAAAAUCAGACCCAUAAUAUACAAGUAAAGCUGAAGGUGAAUGAAAACUAAAAUCAUCCCAUGCCCAUUCCUUGCGACUCUUCUUGCGUCCAGAUUGAAAAAUUGGUGUUUUUGCAGGUCUUAGCACUUUUCAGUGUUUUUCAGGAUAUUUUCACUUUCAUUCUUUUGCUGCAAAGAACCAAUGUCUCUAGAGACAGACUGUUGCUUGCAUGCUUUCUAAUCCACAUUUAAUCAGAACCCAUGGCAUACACCUAUGAUUAAUUUCACAUUGCUUCAGCUCUGAGGUGGAAACACUUGGUGACUGAUGUCACGUGCUCUAUGUGUCAGAAAACCCUCUGAGAGAGACAGCUCAGCCCCUCCAGAGCUCCAGGACCACAUCUCUACUCACAGGAAUACAAACAUCUCCAAGACCCCCUUAACAGCCCCUGAUUAAAGAGGCUGCAUUCAGGGGACAGAAGCAGCAAGGAGAGAUCUUCUUGCUUGUCUGCCAUUUCCUAAGCCUGUGGCUACUUCACUUUUAUGUGGACUAGCAAGGGCCACAGCCACCCAAGGGGCCAGGGAAGCCUCUGCAGGGAUGCUGAGGGUUGGCCAUGAACACCACCAAAGGAGGAAUGUGGGAGAGGUGGAGGUGGCUGCAGAGGGUCAAAGCAGGAGAGCCCAGGGCCUCUGAAGAGACCCUCAUGUCCUGGGCUGCAGUGAGUGUCAGACUCUUUUGGCUGUUUUUUUCUUUUUUUUUUUUUUUUUUUUGCAUGUGUGUGUCUUGCAUUCCCACACCACAAAGCAAGCUGCUGCUUCCAUCCUGACAGCUCCAGAGUUCUGAGCAUGGAUUGUGCCUGAGCAUGGGUUGGUGGCUCUGCCUUGCCUCUGCACAGACAAAAAUCACCAGCUCUGCAUUCACUGCCUUGGGAGGCUCUAGCUGGAAGGGAGCUCCCCCAGCUGCAGCUGGGCACUGCCUCCACAGGGAUUUACUACCAGAGACUUCCCAUGCCUAACAAUCUUCUCCAGAGUUCUCUGCUUCUGGCUUGGUCCUUGAUUAAUUAAGGUCUUGACACUGUGAAACUGAGAAUUUUUCCCAACAGCAUUAUAUACAGGAAAGAGCAAUUACAGGCUCAGGACUAAUGCACUACACACUCACUGUUGCACUCAUUCCACUGAACUACGUUAGUAAUUAAUGGUAUUUUCACCAAAAAGCUGAGCAAACACAGUAACAAUAGCAAGUCAAAUGUACAACAUUGUGAGACAUGGGUUUCAAAAGAACAGGGACCAAAGUUGCCAAGGCCUCCUGGAUUCAGGUAACUCCCUGAGCUCUUCUUUCCACUCAGCUGAGAUCUCCCCAGCAUUUACCACAGUUACACCCUGACCUUAGAAGCAGAGUGUUAUUAUUAUCAUCAUGUCAGAGCACCCCUCUGAUGUAACAGGUGUUUGGUUAGAACUUUGUCAAGUCAGUGUUUAUUUUUAACAGCUGGAUUACCAACAGCCAUUGGAUGUGUCCCCUUUUCCCUGUCCCCUGAGGUGGAGUCCCUGCCCUGGGGCUCUGGUAUUUGCUGACUAACCAGAGUGCCUGUAGCCUGUUCCAGAGCCUCAGACUUGGUACUGGGAACAGGAGAGGCAACACUCUGCACCAGCACAGUGAUAACUGGAGGUGUGAGACAAAGGUUUCAGGUAAGAUGCUGCAGGCAGAAAGGGUAUCUGCACUGGCAGAGCCCUUGCCACCAGCAGUUUGGGCUUCCUACAAAUCUUUCUACAAAAGGCUGAGAUUUUUUCCAGCACUUGGGCAUUUCCCUUUGCUGCUCUGCAGGCUGUUCCAAGGUCUUCAGCAGAAACAUGUCAGGCCUGCUUCCACCAUUCCUGUUUGAACACAGCCCCUGGACAAGAGAGUCAGCUCUGGACUGGAUCUGGGAGAAUAUAACAAACACACAGUUUUCCAGAUAGCCACUGAUGUUCAAGCAUGAAAGCAACAGUUUGAUUAUUGCAUUCUGAUUGCUCUAUUGCACAUGCAUGUUAUCAACAAAAAAGUCAUGCAAAACUUAUGGUGGAUUUCACUUUUUCUUAUUUAACUGUUUUAUUGUAAGCAUGUACAAUGCUCCCCCCAACAAUUUUUGUUGAAAAGAUGAGCCAGCAUAGCAAAGUUUUAAACAUCCUUCUGCUUCUUUACAAUAAGACAGAUGAUCAUGACAUUUAAGUUUUCCCUUUACUAGUUUAAAACUUUCCACUUUAUCUCAGAGUCCUUAUCCUGAGAGAUACUUCAGAGAGUUUGAUUGUACAAGCAGUGAAUAGAGACCCGGGUUUUUGGUGUUGAUUGGCUUCUAUAUAUACUGAAUUUAUUUAUGGAAAAUCAGAACAUUCUCCUUGCUAGGCACUCUCUACAGGUCCAGUAGUGAAAUAUCCUCAGCCAUACAACCUAGUCCAUGAGUUGGUCCAAAGAAUUUUCACUGGGGACUCCCAAAAUUACUGUCCCAGUGAUGGGCCAACAGUACCCUUGGAUGAGCUUAGUAAAUUGAGCAUUCUUAGGGCAGACUCCAGGGGACCAUAGUAAAAAUAGGAGGGAUUAAUUUUGUUUGCAAUUUGAGUAAAUACACCAAGGGCAAAGGAGACACAAAACCUGAACUAUGCUCUUAAGACUUGGAGAAAGCAAAAGGAAUCUGACAGGACAGUGUGUGGGAAAGCAGGGAUUACCUCUGCUUGUGUUGCUGCUGCUUGAAUCAAAGGGCUGUCUGCAUUUUUACUGGCAUAGCUGAGCUGCCAUGUAGCUGCUGGCAUGAGUAAGCCAUGGGAACACUCUGGUAUUGAUAAAAAGAACCUUGUUCCCAGCUUAGUUUAUAUUGCUCCAGAAACAGUUAAAGGAAAAAGAUGUCGCUCACCCCAAGAAUAUCCGAGAUGUUUAUCAGCCUAAUUAUAGUGAUUGAAUUCAUGCAUCACCAUACAUCUCUGUGGGUUUCCUGCAGAUUUCAUUGGAAGUGGAGCUUCUUGGAACAAGUCAGUGGCAAUCAUUUAAUCAGUGUUACACAUAAACUGGUUACUGAAGCAGAUUUUUGCUGUAUCACUAAACAGGGAUUACUGGAAUUUCCCAUAGGAAUAUAUUACUCUGGAUUAACAGCCUGGAAAAAAGUUUCCAACUCUGGUGUGCUGAGUGGCAUCACAACGUGACUGUGAGGUGUCAAUGGCCAUUCUAAGCUAUUAAGGGUAAAGAUACUUUUUCCUGGAUCUAGCCAUAAGUGCUUAGGUGAUUUGCAAAUGGAGCCCUAGGGACUCACAAACAGCAAGCAGCAAAACAGAUCCUCUGGAGAAAGUCAGCUGCAAAUCUGCAAACUGUCCAGUUCUUAAACAAAGGGAUUUAGAGAUUUUUUCAAGAUCUUCUGAAGAUUUUCCCUAAAACUCCCAAAGAGCUGAAGUUGUUAGGGAAAGUGCAAGCCACAUAGGAUGCACAUGAAAUAUCAAAAUAUCUCUGGCCACUAGACUUCACUGCUGGAAGAACAGGAAUUGUAGGAAAUAACCCCAAAACAUGUCAGCAAGGCUGUUCUGUGGCCCAAAGCACGAGGUUUUCCUCCCCCAGACAUGCCAGCUCAGCCAGAGAGCUGCUGCCUCAGGCAGGAGCAGUCAGUAAUGUGACUUUGGUGUCACUGUGACUGGCAAGGACCUCCACUGCUGGAGAUGGGCUCCAUUUGGAGAGAGAAGACAAAGUCUGAUGGAGGAAAUGGCUGUAAUGCAGAAGAGCAAAAUGAAAUACUGCUGUGGGAAGCUCAGUGUGCAAGCCAGGAAAGCACCCUGAUGGGGAUGCAGGGCACAGCUGGGGUAAGGAAUGUGGCAUCUGAUGGUACCUGCAGCAGACACAGGGCAGGGCUCUGUGCCUGCUGCUGCCUCACCACUACCCUCAUGUUAUCAUCAGGCAUUAGGAAGAAGUUCUUUACUCAGAGGGUGGUGAAGCACUGGAACAGAGAGCUCAGAGAGCUGUGGCUGCCUCUUCUCUGGAAGUGUUCAAGGCCCAGGUUGGAUGGUAGCAACCUGAUCUAGUGGGUGGCAUCCUGGCAGGGGGCUGGAAUGAUCUUUAAGGUCCCUUCCAACCCAAGCCACUCUGUGAUUCUGUGUUCUCACACACGCUGUGGUGCAUAGCAACUCGUCUGCUGGGCCAUCUGCUGAGCUGCCUGCACUCAAAUUAGGACUGCAACUCCUCCUUCCUAUGUGCAGCUUUUCAAAACUUACACCCUCCUCUCUGCAAACCUUCUUCUCCUGCUUGAUCCAUUACAUCAUCCAUCCUCAUCAGCUGGACUGGCUGGAAGGACAGGAGGUGUUUGGCAGCCUUGCAUUGUCUCUCACCCUCAGAUCAAUCCCCUCACCUGGGGAGAAGCAUUACAGGCACUUGCCUGCACUCUGUGUGCUGCCCCAUCCAACAGGGUCAUCAGUUCAGAGAUGGGGCAGGAAUCCCCCAGCCAGCAGUCAGCAUCUGCAUCAGCAUUCUGUGCUUCCAGGUCCCCAGCUGGGGAUGGUAGCAUGGUCUACUGUUGGCCCUGAGUCAUGCAAAUCUUAUGCCAGGCAAAGCAAAAAUGGCUGCACCAUGCAUAGAUUUAAUCUCUCAAAUAGACAGUGAGAUUUUUCAGUGAGUUCAUUAUUUUUAAGAAGUUACCAAUUUCUCUGCAACUCUGCUUUUAUUUCUCACCAUAACUCUAUCUGGCUGAAAUAUCAUUUUGUGGAAAAUUGUGUGAGCGAGAUGUUACACAAAAUGAACUGAAACUGUGCAUUUGAACAUAAUCAUAUCCAUUCAUUGCCUCCAGUUUCCAAUCACAGGCUGGUAAAUGCUGCAGUUCUCAUAGCACAUACCAUCUCUCCCAGUGUCACUGCAGCUACCAGGAGCUCUGAUAAUAAUGGCAGAUCUGGGGGUUUCCACUGGGAUGCAAAAUCCUCCUACCUGCUUUUCUUUUCCCACUCCCUUGCUGCUGAGGACCAUGGCUCUGUGCUUGAUCUGCAUUCAGCCAAUUCAUAGAAAAGCUAAAGAGAAAAACCUUGAGCUCAACCUGACAUUCAAGUUCAGUGUUUAAAGGUGAUGAGACAUCAUCAGUCACAAAGUACUGUUGUUUCUAGUAAGGAAUAUGUAGGAAAACAGUUCCAAUCAUUUAAAUGUUCCCCAUAAAUAUAGUCAUAAUGGGUUAGAAUUUGAGACUACAUUUUCUAGCUUUAGUUUUCUCUCUAAGCUCCUGUUUUGCUAAAGAACAUGAGGUACCAUUUCUAUUUCAAGGGCUUUUUUCUGAUGAGUCUAAGUACUUUGCACAUGAAACCUUUUCAGAGAGGACAAAGAGGUAUUCCAAGCAGACUCAUGCAAACUCAUAAAGGCAAAUGAAAGCUUCACAUCCAGCUCUCCAGUCUGACUCUGCACCUGCCUGAUUCCAGCAGCUUACUAAAGCCAGUAUUUACUUGGCCUUUCUGAUCCUUAUGGGUGCACUUGACUCUGGAAGGAAAAAGUUUCAUGCUGGGUGGUGCAGACUCAGUUAUGCUACAACACCACAUUUCCUUGCUGCUGUUGCUGUGCAGGCUCAUGUGCCUUUUCUUGUUAUCCCAGCAAGGAGCCAUGAAGAUUGUGCACCAUGAACUAAACCUGGAGUGGUUCUGCACAACCAUGUUUGCACUCCAAACAAGUACUCUGGUACUCUGACUGCAGCAACCCGAGCUGGAAGUCAGAAGUGGCCAGCUGCCCUACAACAAACUGACCUUAGGCUUUGUGUCCAUUAAUGCUGUAAGGUCUUACAUCUGAGUGCCUUCCUCUGCUCCUUAUCUUUUAUUCAUAUGCAUAGAUGACACAUAAAAUACCUGCUAAAACCUCUGACAAUAUGCUCAUACAGAGAUCCCAGCUCCACUUCCAAAUCCAGUGAACCCCAGAAACAAGUCAAACAGAAACCUGUCUGUGGGUGCACAGUGAGUUCUGAGCAUACCAGAAUUAGAGCCAGCACUGCUGAUGUCCUCAUUGAGCUGAGCCUGCUAAGCUACAGCCUCAUCCUUCCUUGGACCUGUCACUGGGGACCAUCUCCAGGACUACCCCUCUCCACCACUGUGUUCUGGGAAGGACUGCACAGCUACAGCUCCACACAAGCUCCCCUUGACUCUCACCUCCCAAUCCUGUGCUGCCUGUUCUCUGAUGGCAACUUCCACUGAAGCAUCUCUGAGCCCACCACAAGGAUGUUUUUGUCCGUCCCUGGAAAAGUGACAUCUGCAAUUCUAUUACAACAAUUCUGUUAGUCACGGCUGCGUUAACUGAAACCGAAAUGUGGUUUUUAACCUAAAAUAUGUUGCAUAACAGCUGAAGUACUGUAAUCUUAAGAGCCGGGAAAGGUUAAUUCCAGAGGGCACAAGAAUGUCGGUGGAAACUAAAAUACUCCAUAAGCGCA